GAUGAACGCUGGCGGCGUGCCUAAUACAUGCAAGUCGAGCGAACGGACGAGAAGCUUGCUUCUCUGAUGUUAGCGGCGGACGGGUGAGUAACACGUGGAUAACCUACCUAUAAGAUUGGGAUAACUUCGGGAAACCGGUGCUAAUACCGGAUAAUAUUUUGAACCGCAUGGUUCAAAAGUGAAAGACGGUCUUGCUGUCCCUUAUAGAUGGAUCCGCGCUGCAUUAGCUAGUUGGUAAGGUAACGGCUUACCAAGGCAACGAUGCAUAGCCGACCUGAGAGGGUGAUCGGCCACACUGGAACUGAGACACGGUCCAGACUCCUACGGGAGGCAGCAGUAGGGAAUCUUCCGCAAUGGGCGAAAGCCUGACGGAGCAACGCCGCGUGAGUGAUGAAGGUCUUCGGAUCGUAAAACUCUGUUAUUAGGGAAGAACAUAUGUGUAAGUAACUGUGCACAUCUUGACGGUACCUAAUCAGAAAGCCACGGCUAACUACGUG
rnacentral:rRNA from 1 species